AACACAGCAAAAUAUGUUCCUACUUAUCUUCUACCAGCCAAUAUUAGCAGUUAUUGUCAGUUUGAAAUAUUUUACAAGCCUUUGAAACAUUUACUUCAGGGCAAGGGUGCUGGCCUGACACUGGCCAGCAAACAUACUGAAAAUAAGCCUUGGCAAACAGUUUUGACAGAGAUAUUUUGGGCUUCAAGUUUUGUUGAUAAUGCACAGACACAAUCAGUACUACAUUAUAUUUUUAUUAAAACUAAUUGUGCAUAUGUUAAAGGGUUUAAAAACUGGAUGAUGGCUCUCAACAUGUUGUUAAUAGGAAAUCAGUCAAAAAACAGCCAUUUCUGUGAAGAUGUGCCUUACACAGCUUGUCUUGAUCUACUGCUGCAGAGUGUACACAUCAACAAACCAGAAACAAAUAGAACAAAUACUCACAAAUUUUCAAAGUAGAUAAGAAUAUGCUGGAUCACCAGCUGUGACUAAAAUUUGCUUGUAAUUCUUGGAUGUAUAAACAGGGAUGAAAAACUAAGGAGGGAGAACAAGCAAUAUAUGCAGCAGUGAUAUUCAGUCAUUAACAAAUUACUUGAUGUAGAAAACUAUGAUUGUUCCCCCUGAGUCUUUUAAAGACAUAGACAAAAUUUGGAAAAGCUGCUGUGUUGGAAGAGAUCUAAUAUAUCAAUCUAAAUAACAAAAUUUGAAGCCCAAAUUAUAUAUCCCACAUUAUAUAUCUGAUAAGCAAGAUGCUUUUUUGUUCUCUGAAGAGAGUCAUGAUCCUUACAGAUACAUCACAUCCUGCAGAAUGAACAUGCCUGCAGCCUCCAGAGGACAGAGCGUGAGACAGGAGCUGUGGCAGGAGACAGGAUGAACCUUAUUCUCAAUAUUCUCCCACAGCUCCACCACAGCAGGAGAAAAACCUCAUGUUCAGAUUUAGUUGCAGGCCCUGACCAAAUUUAAUAUAUAUGCUGGAGUAAAGAGCUCUGUCUGAAGAAGUAACACUCUGGGUAAAAUUCACUUCACUGAAUUUAGCUUCCCAAAAGAGCCACUCAUGUUUGCCUUGAGGAUUGUUCUAGGGGAAGCUGUUGGUCAUGCCAAUAUAAUUCCCUUCACACAAAAGCACAGUUUUGUACUGGAUACUAACAAUCCAUCCAAAGUGAUGUUAUUACCAGAGUUACUAUGUAUAUGUUGGCAAUUACAUAUAUUUUUCUUCUUACCACUGUAUAAAUUUCCUUUCCCUAAUAAAGUGUGCAAGGUUUCCCAAAGAGUUUAAUAACCCAGACUCACUCAAGUGUAGCUGUUAAAAUAAGCUAAACUGGUUUAACUUCUGAGCUGUCAGACCUAAUUUCAAAUGAUGAGAUGUGACCACUCUUUUCAUGUGAACUGCUAAAAUUAGGUAAUUUCCAAACAUAUGCAAUAAAUACAAGGAAGAAUGUCAAAGUUCAGGGUUUUUUUCGUUAUGAAUUUGCUUUCUUAAAUAAGUGGCCAAGAAAAAAACAUUAAUUUAUUUAAAAUAAUCUAAAAUAGUUAAAACUGGUAACAUACUAAUAAGCCAUGAAGAGUAGUGUUUCUGCAAUCUAAAAAAGUUAAUUUUCAAAAGGUAUUUUAACUUUUUCUUUUAAGCUAUCUAGUUCAAUCAUUUUUUUUCCUUCAGGCAGUAAAAGCAAAUGCAUAUGGCAUGAAAAUCUGUUAAAACAUAGUACUUUACACCUUUGUUUGUACCUGCUCCAAAUAUAUUUGUCUAUAAAUUAACUGCACAUGGUGGUUUUCACAUUGGCUUAUUUUAUCCAUGUGUUCAAGAAAUUUAAUACAUCACUUGUGUUCCCUCAAUUACAGCUCAAGUCACCAGACAAAAAGAGGAGGAGUAUAAACAUAGCUACGUAUUUUUGCAUUUUUAUAUGCAAUUUAUGCCCAAGGCAUCAACCGUAUGUAAAAAAGGUAAGAAAGUAACCCUGUGUUUCUUUCUAAUGCAUCUCAAGAGCUGAACUCUCUUCAAACACCAAUGUCUGAAGUGAGUGGUGGAUGCCCCAUCCCUGGAAGUGUCCAAGGACAGGCUGGACAGGGAGGUGGAAGGUGUCCUUGCCCAUGGCAGGGCAUGGGAGGAGAUGACCUUUAAGGUCCCUUCCAACCCAAACCAUUCUGAUCCCAUGAUUUUACAGAGAGAGGAACAUUUAGUGGCAGUGGUCUGCAGGGCAGAUCAUCCAGCAGGACCCACACAGUAAUCCCAUCCCAACACCAACCAUUCCUUCAUGCUCUCCAGUAGCAAUCAGCACUUAUGUCAGCAGCUAAACCCUUACAGGGAGUUUUUCUGAAGGAAAUCCACAGAUCCCAGGUAUUUCCUACAUGCUCUAAAGACACCCCAGGCCUGCCCCCUGCUCCUGUGAGCCAGGGUCCCUGUUCCAGCAAGGCUGAUCACAGAACGCCCCAGGCUCUCCACCCACUCCCUCGGCACACGCUUCCGUGCGGAGCGGGACGGAUGUUUGGUACAUGUGGGCUGGGUCACCUCACCCCUCUCUUAAUUUUAGCACAUGUGAAAUUUGCCAUAUGGGCAGCUCUGAAGAGUGAAGUCCUUCACUUUCUUGCAAGAGUAGUAGAGCACAAUCUUUUCCAUUACUGUUACCUUAAUGCAUCUCAUCCCUUGACAUAUCUUUUUAGGAAAGCUGAGCUGGAUCACCAAAUCCAGUUCCCAGCAGACCACACGUUCCUUUCCACAGGCUAAUCAAGAACUGCCUGCCUUGAGGGUUCACCUUCUCUGUUCCUACCAUUGUUCCUAUUCUCAGGCUGCUUUUUCAAAGAUUUGUUCUCACUUCCACCCUUUUAAUUAGCACCAUGUUAUUGCACCAAUAAUAUUCUUGGUGUUAUGGGCAGGCAAGAUAAUUAAGACUCUUCUUUCCAUUCCCUCCUUGCAGUGGAAGCUUCAGCUUCCAUAUACACCAAGUCCAUCUUUCUUAGUGACCAGAAAUAUCAUUUCAUAUCACCUUUGCUAUUAAAUCAGCCUGCUCUGGAUUCAGACAGAAAGUUGAGACUUAAACCCUGCACUGCUUCACCUGAUGCAACGGUGCAUUUAUUUAAAGAGGUUACAUAUGGAAAAGGUUAAUGCCACAGUCCUGCAAAAACUUGCCUAAAUGCCUAAUUUCAGGCGUAUAAAUAAUUCCAUUAAAUUCAAAUUACUCAAGCCCACUGAAUUCAAUGUGCCUGUGCCCAUGACUAAAUUAUA
ensembl:lncRNA